rnacentral:rRNA from 1 species
GUGGAUUAGAUACCCUGGUAGUCCUAGCCGUAAACGAUGGACACUAGAUGUUGCCCGUAUCGACCCGGGCAGUGUCGUAGCUAACGCGUUAAGUGUCCCGCCUGGGGAGUACGCACGCAAGUGUGAAACUCAAAGGAAUUGACGGGGGCCCGCACAAGCGGUGGAGCAUGUGGUUUAAUUCGAUGCAACGCGAAGAACCUUACCAGGGCUUGACAUGCCGCGAAUCCUUGUGAAAGCAGGGAGUGCCUUCGGGAGCGCGGACACAGGUGGUGCACGGCCGUCGCCAGCU